ACUCUAAGCGGUGGAUCACUCGGCUCAUGGGUCGAUGAAGAACGCAGCAAACUGUGCGUCAUCGUGUGAACUGCAGGACACAUGAACAUCGACAUUUUGAACGCAUAUCGCAGUCCAUGCUGUUAUGUACUUUAAUUAAUUUUAUAGUGCUGCUUGGACUACAUAUGGUUGAGGGUUGUAAGACUAUGCUAAUUAAGUUGCUUAUAAAUUUUUAUAAGCAUAUGGUAUAUUAUUGGAUAAAUAUAAUAAUUUUUAUUCAUAAUAUUAAAAAAUAAAUGAAAAACAUUAUCUCACAUUUGAAUGUGAAAAACGAAGAGAAAUAUUUUCUUUUUCAAUCAAAUAAUACUGAGAAAUGUCUAGCAUAAAAAAUUGAAAUAUUUUUCAUCUAGAAUUGUCUCUUAUUAAUGAUUCGGAAAUAGAAAAAUCUUGGUUAUUUAUUAUUCUUCGUUGGUUCGUUAAAAAUGGAUAAAUAAAAACUUUGCAUACAAGAAUUAAUAAAAAUGUUAUAACAAUUUAAUUAAAUGUUUUAUCAUUAUAUAUAAAGAAUUUAUGGCCAAGAUAAAGUUAUAUACAACCUCAACUCAUAUGGGACUACCCCCUGAAUUUAAGCAUAUUAAUUAGGGAGGAAAAGAAACUAACAAGGAUUUCUUAGUAGCGGCGAGCGAAAAGAAAACAGUUCAGCACUAAGUCACUUUGUCUAUAUGGCAAAUGUGAGAUGCAGUGUAUGGAGCGUCAAUAUUCUAGUGAGAAAUUAACGAUUUAAGUCCUUCUUAAAUGAGCCAUUUACCCAUAGAGGGUGCCAGGCCCGUAUAACGUUAAUGAUUACUAGAUGAUGUUUCCAAAGAGUCGUGUUGCUUGAUAGUGCAGCACUAAGUGGGUGGUAAACCAUCUAAAACUAAAUAUAACCAUGAGACGAUAGUAAACAAGUACCGUGAGGGAAAGUUGAAAAGAACUCUGAAUAGAGAGUUAAACAGUACGUGAAACUGCUUAGAGGUUAAGCCCGAUGAACCUGAAUAUCCGUUAUGGAAAAUUCAUCAUUAAAAUUGUAAUAUUUAAAUAAUAUUAUGAGAAUAGUGUGCAUUUUUUCCAUAUAAGGACAUUGUAAUCUAUUAGCAUAUACCAAAUUUAUCAUAAAAUAUAACUUAUAGUUUAUUCCAAUUAAAUGCUUGCAUUUUAACACAGAAUAAAUGUUAUUAAUUUGAUAAAGUGCUGAUAGAUUUAUAUGAUUACAGUGCGUUAAUUUUUCGGAAUUAUAUAAUGGCAUAAUUAUCAUUGAUUUUGUGUUUAUUAUAUGCACUUGUAUGAUUAACAAUGCGAAAGAUUCAGGAUACCUUCGGACCCGUCUUGAAACACGGACCAAGGAGUCUAACAUAUGUGCAAGUUAUUGGGAUAUAAACCUAAUAGCGUAAUUAACUUGACUAAUAAUGGAUUAGUUUUUUAGCUAUUUAUAGCUAAUUAACACAAUCCCGGGGCGUUCUAUAUAGUUAUGUAUAAUGUAUAUUAUAUUAUUUAUGCCUCUAACUGGAACGUACCUUGAGCAUAUAUGCUGUGACCCGAAAGAUGGUGAACUAUACUUGAUCAGGUUGAAGUCAGGGGAAACCCUGAUGGAAGACCGAAACAGUUCUGACGUGCAAAUCGAUUGUCAGAAUUGAGUAUAGGGGCGAAAGACCAAUCGAACCAUCUAGUAGCUGGUUCCUUCCGAAGUUUCCCUCAGGAUAGCUGGUGCAUUUUAAUAUUAUAAAAAUAAUCUUAUCUGGUAAAGCGAAUGAUUAGAGCCUUAGGUCGAAACGAUCUUAACCUAUUCUCAAACUUUAAAUGGGUAAAACCUUAACUUUCUUGAUAUGAAGUUCAAGGUUAUGAUAUAAUGUGCCCAGUGGGCCACUUUUGGUAAGCAGAACUGGCGCUGUGGGAUCAAACGUAAUGUUACGGUGCCCAAAUUAACAACUCAUGCAGAUACCAUGAAAGGCGUUGGUUGCUUAAAACAGCAGGACGGUGAUCAUGGAAGUCGAAAUCCGCUAAGGAGUGUGUAACAACUCACCUGCCGAAGCAACUAGCCCUUAAAAUGGAUGGCGCUUAAGUUGUAUACCUAUACAUUACCGCUAAAGUAGAUGAUUUAUAUUACUUGUGAUAAAAUUUUGAAACUUUAUGAGUAGGAAGGUACAAUGGUAUGCGUAGAAGUGUUUGCGUAAGCCUGCAUGGAGCUGCCAUUGGUACGAUCUUGGUGGUAGUAGCAAAUAAUCGAAUGAGACCUUGGAGGACUGAAGUGGAGAAGGGUUUCGUGUGAACAGUGGUUGAUCACGAGUUAGUCGGUCCUAAGUUCAAGGCGAAAGCCGAAAAUUUUCAAGUAAAACAAAAAUGCCUAACUAUAUAAACAAAGCGAAUUAUAAUACACUUGAAUAAUUUUGAACGAAAGGGAAUACGGUUCCAAUUCCGUAACCUGUUGAGUAUCCGUUUGUUAUUAAUAUGGGCCUCGUGCUCAUCCUGGCAACAGGAACGACCAUAAAGAAGCCGUCGAGAGAUAUCGGAAGAUUUUCUUUUCUGUUUUAUAGCCGUACUACAUGGAAGUCUUUCGCAGAGAGAUAUGUAGAUGGGCUAGAAGAGCAUGACAUAUACUGUUGUGUCGAUAUUUUCUCCUCGGACUUGAAAAUUAUGGUGGGGACACGCAAACUUCUCAACAGGCCGUACAAUAUCCGCAGCUGGUCUCCAAGGUGAAGAGUUCUAGUCGAUAGAAUAAUGUAGGUAAGGGAAGUCGGCAAAUUAGAUCCGUAAUUCGGGAUAAGGAUUGGCUCUGAAGUUUGAGAUAGUCGGCUAUGGGAAACAAUAACAUGGUUUAUUGUCUCGUUCUGGGUAAUAGAGUUUCUAGCAUUUAUGUUAGUUACUUGUUCCCGGAUAGUUUAGUUACGUAGCAAUUGUGGAAUUUCUGCUAAAUUUUAAGAAUACUAUUUGGUUAAACCAAUUAGUUCUUAUUAAUUAUAACGAUUAUCAAUUAACAAUCAUUCAGAACGGCACGGACUUGGGGAAUCGACUGUCUAAUUAAAACAAAGCAUUGUGAUGGCCCUAGCGGGUGUUGACACAAUUGAUUUCUGCCAGUGCUCUGAAUGUCAAAGUGAAGAAAUUCAAGUAAGCG
rnacentral:rRNA from 1 species